rnacentral:siRNA from 1 species
AAGAAUGCUCUUUGCAGGCCGCGC